rnacentral:rRNA from 1 species
AUUGAACGCUGGCGGCAGGCUUAACACAUGCAAGUCGAGCGGGGUGAUGGUGCUUGCACUAUCACUUAGCGGCGGACGGGUGAGUAAUGCUAGGAAUAUGCCUAUUAGUGGGGGACAACAUCUCGAAAGGGAUGCUAAUACCGCAUACGUCCUACGGGAGAAAGCAGGGGAUCACUUGUGACCUUGCGCUAAUAGAUGAGCCUAAGUCGGAUUAGCUAGUUGGUGGGGUAAAGGCCUACCAAAGCGACGAUCUGUAGCGGGUCUGAGAGGAUGAUCCGCCACACUGGGACUGAGACACGGCCCAGACUCCUACGGGAGGCAGCAGUGGGGAAUAUUGGACAAUGGGGGGAACCCUGAUCCAGCCAUGCCGCGUGUGUGAAGAAGGCCUUAUGGUUGCAAAGCACUUUAAGCGAGGAGGAGGCUCUUUUGGUUAAUACCCAAGAUGAGUGGACGUUACUCGCAGAAUAAGCACCGGCUAACUCUGUGCCAGCAGCCGCGGUAA